UUUGCGGCUGGAUCCCCUCCUUUCUAGAGUGCGCAUGAAGUUAAGCGUCCACACUUAUCGUCUGUUAGUAAAGAAGAACAGUUAUUCGGUUGCGGCGCAGGCAAUGCCUGCAUGCUGGCUCUGAUUACUGAUCCAAGCGGGUCUGUAGCUCAGCUGGUUAGAGCACCGUGUUGAUAACGCGGGGGUCGUUGGUUCGAGCCCAACCAGACCCACCAAGAGUUUCGGGGGUUUAGCUCAGCUGGGAGAGCACCUGCUUUGCAAGCAGGGGGUCGUCGGUUCGAUCCCGUCAACCUCCACCAGAAACGUCAAACCUAAGUCGCACGCAAGCUGAACAAGCGCGUGUGGAUUUAGGUUUGGUCUUUUAGCGAUCAAUGGCUGUUUUUGUUCUUUAACAAUCUGGAAGAAGUAAAGAAUUCGUCAACGACGAAUGCCAGGAUUUCGGUCCUUGCAUGCGAAGUUGAUGGGUGUGAUUGUAUCAAUCAAAGUAUUACGAAGUGAUCUUAGCAAUUAGAAGACUUACUUUGGCAAUACGGCAAACGCUAAACUCAAAAAGCUCUAUGACGAUCUCUCGGAAGAGAGGCUAACGUUAUAGGGACAAGUGAAUAAGUGCACAUGGUGGAUGCCUUGGCGAUUACAGGCGAUGAAGGACGUAGUAGCUUGCGAUAAGCUGCGGGGAGCGAGCAAACACGCUUUGAUCCGC
rnacentral:misc_RNA from 1 species